GAUUUUAUUUAAGGUUAGGAUUUGGUUUAGGGUUUAGGGUUUGGUUUAGGGUUUAAAAUUUGAUUUAGGAUUUAAAGUUUGAUUAAGGUUUGAUUUAAGAUUUAUGAUUUGGUUAGGAUUUGGUUUAGAAUUUAAGAUUUGAUUUAGAGUUUAGGAUUUGGUUUAGGGUUUAAGAUUUGAUUAAGGUUUGAUUUAGGAUUUAGAAUUUGGUUAGGAUUUGAUUUAAGAUUAGAAUUUGGUUAGGAUAUGAUUUAAGAUUAGAAUUUGGUUAGGAUCUGAUUUAGGAUUAGGAUUUGGUUUAGGAUUUAGGAUCUGAUUAGGGUUUGGUUUAGGAUUUAGGAUUUGGUUAGGAUUUGAUUUAGGAUUUGAUUUCGGAUUUGGUCAAGAUUUGGUUUAGGAUUUAGGAUUUUAUUAUUGUUUGUUUAGGAUUUAAGAUUUACUUAGUUUUUGGCCUAAAGUUUGAAUGAAGUUCAAUAGGAUUUUAAGUAGGAUUAAAUUAAGAUUGAAUUGAGAUGUAUUUGAGAUAUAUUUGUAAUCAUUCUAAUAUUUCUUUAAGAUUUCUUAUUAUUUUUUUAUAAUUCCCUUGAGGUUUCUUUGAAUUUGAUUAAAGCUUACUUAG
rnacentral:lncRNA from 1 species